CCUACGGGGGGCAGCAGUGGGGGAUAUUGCACAAUGGGGGGAACCCUGAUGCAGCGACGCCGCGUGGGUGAAGGAGCGUUUCGGCGCGUAAAGCCCUAUCGGCAGGGAAGAAGGAGGACGGUACCUGACUAAGAAGCCCCGGCUAACUACGUGCCAGCAGCCGCGGUAAUACGUAGGGGGCAAGCGUUAUCCGGAUUUACUGGGUGUAAAGGGGGCGCAGACGGCAGCGCAAGCCAGGAGUGAAAGCCCGGGGCCCAACCCCGGGACUGCUCUGGGAACUGUCCGGCUGGAGUGCGGGAGGGGUAAGCGGAAUUCCUGGUGUAGCGGUGAAAUGCGUAGAUAUCAGGAGGAACACCGGUGGCGAAGGCGGCUUACUGGACCAUAACUGACGUUGAGGCUCGAAAGCGUGGGGAGCGAACAGGAUUAGAUACCCGGGU
rnacentral:rRNA from 1 species